CUGGGGCUCUGAGUUACCAGAUAGGUAUUGGCAAGAGUGCAUGCAUGUGCACACACACAGCAUCCCAGAGGGAUCUGAGGCAUGAAAGGCUAAGUGUCAUUUUCAAAGACUGGCCAACUUGAAAGGUUGGCUGGGAGCAGAGCUUUCCUGGUGGGAUUUUGCUCUGAGAAUUCUCCUAUGCUCAUCAGCUAGAAGACUGGUUAAAUUGUAAGCUCAAAAGAACAUAUAUAGUACAUGUAUAAUAGGUAAUAAUUAUAUACAUUUUAUUUAAACUGGACUUUUGCUUUUAUAUGCUAACAAGGAAAACAACUCUUUUCUCCCAGAUUUCAAUGCGAUUUUUCCUAUCGUCUUCUAUAAAUUAUUCUUUUUCUCUACCUUAGUGAACCAGUGAAUGUAAUUUAUGGAACCAGAAGAGGGCACUGUUAGGUUGAAGGAUUGCUCAGAAAGAUUUGAAAAGUGCUGUAGAUCUGAGUUUGUUUAAUAAUUUAAAGUGCUUGAAGGAUGCCAACCGAACAACCUGAACCCCCCUCUGGGUGACAGUG
rnacentral:lncRNA from 1 species